CUGAUUGAUGAUACUUUGUAUGUGUUCCCAUCUUUCUAGGCCUCACAUUUAAGAGCUCAGCUUGUUUCACAAACAUACCAUUUCAGACUGAUUGGAUGCCCAAAGACAGCUACAUGUCAUUGUGCUUUCAGGACUGAGACUGAUUGAAGUCAGGAAGAAACCAUCAGGCACAGCAGAACAGGGGAAGAAGAUGCCUAAAUCCCUUGACUGCUGAGAGGAGACAGUUCUUGUACAGCAGUAGUGAGAGAAACUGUGGUGGAGUUGCCUAAUAACUGUGAUCUCUGGUGGCCGUCUUGGUGGUGAAUCUGCAUCCGUUCCAGACCACUCCUCUCUGAAGCCCUGCAYGGGCCUGCUGUAUAGCUAUACGUUCUGUGGGGCACUUUUUCAAACARCAAAUAUCUGACAUAUCCACUACAGAACUUGAAGCGGGGCGAGGGACUGGAGAGGCUGGUGACAGUGC
rnacentral:lncRNA from 1 species